AGGAUAAACGCUGGCGGCGUGCCUAACACAUGCAAGUCGAACGCGCUUUCGUCUUCGGAGGAGAGCGAGUGGCGGACGGGUGAGUAACACAUGGGUACCUACCCCACAGUGAGGGAUACCGGCGAGAAAUCGCCGACAAUACCGCAUACGCUUCUCUUUGGAGACGAGGAGAAGCAAAGUUGCGCAAGCGACGCUGAGGGAUGGGCCUGUGGCCGAUUAGCUAGUUGGGGGGUAACGGCCUCCCAAGGCGACGAUCGGUAGCUGGUCUGAGAGGACGAUCAGCCACACUGGGAUUGAGAACGGCCCAGACUCCUACGGGGGGCAGCAGUGAGGAAUUUUCCGCAAUGGGCGCAAGCCUGACGGAGCAACGCCGCGUGCAGGACGACGGCCUUCGGGUUGUAAACUGCUUUUCUGGGGGUACGAGCAAGGACGGUACCCCAGGAAUCAGCCCGGCUAACUACGUGCCAGCAGCCGC
rnacentral:rRNA from 1 species